rnacentral:rRNA from 1 species
CCCUAUGGUGAGGAAUAACACGAGGAAACUUGUGCUAAUACCUCAUAAGUCUUUACGGAGAAAGCUUUAUGCGCCAUUGGAUGAGCCUGCACUUGAUUAGUUUGUUGGUAGGGUAAUGGCCUACCAAGACAAUGAUCAAUAGCUGAUUUGAGAGGAUGAUCAGCCACAUUGGGACUGAGACACGGCCCAAACUCCUACGGGAGGCAGCAGUAGGGAAUCUUGCACAAUGGGGGAAACCCUGAUGCAGCGAUGCCGCGUGAGUGAA